rnacentral:rRNA from 1 species
UACGGAGGAUGCGAGCGUUACCCGGAUUUAUUGGGUUUAAAGGGUGCGUAGGCGGGUUAUCAAGUCAGCGGUAAAAUCGUGGAGCUCAACUCCAUCCAGCCGUUGAAACUGAUGAUCUUGAGUGGGCGAGAAGUAUGCGGAAUGCGUGGUGUAGCGGUGAAAUGCAUAGAUAUCACGCAGAACUCCGAUUGCGAAGGCAGCAUACCGGCGCCCGACUGACGCUGAAGCACGAAAGCGUGGGUAUCGAACAGG